UCCAACCACAACAACAGCAACUCCAACCACAACUACAGCAGCUCUGACCACAACAACAGCAGCUCCAACAACAACGGCUGUUCCUUCCACCACCACAAUUUCUACAACAGCAACAACUACCGUUGGCACAACUGAAAUGAGAGUUGUCCGCCGGAUGACCUUCAGGUCUCCUGAUGAUACCUUUUCCAGCGAUCUUGAAAUCAGUUCUUCAACUGCUUUCAACAAUCGGUCCCAACGUUUGUGGAAUCGUCUUUAUGCCCUCUACAGACAAGCAUUUUCAUCAUUCUUGAAGUUGACAAUUGUGUCAUUCAGAAGAGGAUCAGUUAUCAACACGCUGGACCUUGAAUUUCAAGCAACAAAUCUUCCUAGUGAUCAAGAUAUYGAAAAUGUUUUAAUAAAUGAGGCACCAAACAUAGCUGAAUUCUCGGUGCAAGCGUCAACGGUUCGCAUUGGAGAAUAUGUUCCUCCGACGACAACACUUUCUCCCGCCACAACCACACCUGCUCCAACCACAACAACAGAAGCUUCAACCACGACUACAUUUGCUGCAACCACAACCACAGCUGUCCAAAUUACAACAGCAACUCCAACCACAUCAACAGCGGCUCCAACCACAACAGCAUCUCUUACCACAACAACAGCAGCUCCAACCACAACAGCAGCAGCUCUAACCACA